UACGGAGGAUGCGAGCGUUAUCCGGAUUUAUUGGGUUUAAAGGGUGCGUAGGCGGGAUGCCAAGUCAGCGGUAAAAAUGCGGUGCUCAACGCCGUCGAGCCGUUGAAACUGGCGUUCUUGAGUGGGCGAGAAGUAUGCGGAAUGCGUGGUGUAGCGGUGAAAUGCAUGGAUAUCACGCAGAACUCCGAUUGCGAAGGCAGCAUACCGGCGCCCUACUGACGCUGAGGCACGAAAGCGUGGGUAUCGAACAGG
rnacentral:rRNA from 1 species